rnacentral:rRNA from 1 species
UGACGAGUGGCGGACGGGUGAGUAAUGCUUGGGAACUUGCCUUUGCGAGGGGGAUAACAGUUGGAAACGACUGCUAAUACCGCAUAAUGUCUACGGACCAAACGGGGCUUAGGCUCCGGCGCAAAGAGAGGCCCAAGUGAGAUUAGCUAGAUGGUGAGGUAAAGGCUCACCAUGGCCACGAUCUCUAGCUGUUCUGAGAGGAAGAUCAGCCACACUGGGACUGAGACACGGCCCAGACUCCUACGGGAGGCAGCAGUGGGGAAUAUUGCACAAUGGGGGAAACCCUGAUGCAGCCAUGCCGCGUGUGUGAAGAAGGCCUUCGGGUUGUAAAGCACUUUCAGUUGUGAGGAAAGGGUGUUGGUUAAUACCCAAUAUCUGUGACGUUAACAACAGAAGAAGCACCGGCUAACUCCGUGCCAGCAGCCGCGGUAAUACGGAGGGUGCGAGCGUUAAUCGGAAUUACUGGGCGUAAAGCGCACGCAGGCGGUUUGUUAAGCUAGAUGUGAAAGCCCCGGGCUCAACCUGGGACGGUCAUUUACAACUGGCAGACUACAGUCUUGGAGAGGGGAGUGGAAUUCCAGGUGUAGCGGUGAAAUGCGUAGAUAUCUGGAGGAACAUCAGUGGCGAAGGCGACUCCCUGGCCGAAGACUGACGCUCAUGUGCGAAAGUGUGGGUAGCGAACAGGAUUAGAUACCCUGGUAGUCCACACCGUACACGCUGUCUACUAGCUGUGUGUGAAUUUA